AUUGAACGCUGGCGGCAGGCUUAACACAUGCAAGUCGAGCGCGGUGAUGGUGCUUGCACUAUCACUUAGCGGGGGACGGGUGAGUAAUGCUUAGGAAUCUGCCUAUUAGUGGGGGACAACAUUUCGAAAGGCAUGCUAAUACCGCAUACGUCUUACGGGAGAAAGCAGGGGAUCACUGGUGACAUGGCGCUAAUAGAGGAGCCUAAGUCGGAUUAGCUUGUCGGUGGGGUAAAGGCCUAGCAAGGCGACGAUCUGUGGCGGGUCUGAGAGGAUGAUCCGCCACACUGGGACUGAGACACGGCCCAGACUCCUACGGGAGGCAGCAGUGGGGAAUAUUGGACAAUGGGGGGAACCCUGAUCCAGCCAUGCCGCGUGUGUGAAGAAGGCCUUAUGGUUGUAAAGCACUUUAAGCGAGGAGGAGGCUCUUUUGGUUAAUACCCAAGAUGAGUGGACGUUACUCGCAGAAUAAGCACCGGCUAACUCUGUGCCAGCCGCCGCGGUAA
rnacentral:rRNA from 1 species